UACGGGGGGGGCAAGCGUUGUUCGGAAUUACUGGGCGUAAAGCGUGUGUAGGUGGUUAUACAAGUCGGUUGUGAAAGCCCCGGGCUCAACCUGGGAAUUGCAUUCGAGACUGAAUAGCUAGGGUGCGGUAGAGGGAAGCGGAAUUUCCGGUGUAGCGGUGAAAUGCGUAGAUAUCGGAAGGAACAUCAGUGGCGAAAGCGGCUUCCUGGACCAGUACCGACGUUCAGGCACGAAAGCGUGGGGAGCAAACAGG
rnacentral:rRNA from 1 species